AAAAGAAACUAACAAGGAUUCCCCUAGUAACGGCGAGUGAAGCGGGAAGAGCUCAAAUUUGAAAUCUGGCAGUCUUCGAUUGUCCGAGUUGUAAUCUAUAGAGGCGUUUUCCGUGCCGGACCGUGUCCAAGUCUCCUGGAAAGGAGUAUCAAAGAGGGUGAUAAUCCCGUACUUAACACGACCACCGGUGCUCUGUGAUACGUCUUCUACGAGUCGAGUUGUUUGGGAAUGCAGCUCAAAAUGGGUGGUGAAUUCCAUCUAAAGCUAAAUAUUGGCGAGAGACCGAUAGCGAACAAGUACCGUGAGGGAAAGAUGAAAAGCACUUUGGAAAGAGAGUUAAACAGUACGUGAAAUUGUUGAAAGGGAAACGAUUGAAGUCAGUCGUGUUCUUUGGAUUCAGCCAGUUCUGCUGGUCUACUUCCUUGGAACGGGUCAACAUCAGUUUUGUCCGGUGGAUAAAGGUAGUAGGAAUGUGACUUCUCCGGAAGUGUUAUAGCCUAUUAUCACAUCCACUGGGUGAGACUGAGGACUGCAGCUCGCCUUUAUGGCCGGCCUUCGGGCACGUUCGAGCUUAGGAUGUUGACAUAAUGGCUUUAAAC
rnacentral:rRNA from 1 species